rnacentral:lncRNA from 1 species
GGCAUGGAGAUAUAAUAGACACAAAACUAAGUGUCUGGGUUAGAGCAAAGAGAAGAAGAAGAGGGUCUUCUUCUAGGGUUGCUGAGUUCACCUCUUUUCUUCCUCCAUCUGUGAGUUUUCUGAGAGUGUCUCAUAUCUAAAACUCCUUCUCCUACUUUUCAUCUUUGGAAGAGUCCAAAUCAAGAAGAAGAAGGUAUCUGAUCGACCAUCGAAGAAGGAUGAGCACAGUACUAGCAUACUGUGCUGAUUU